GGGGGGAGGCCAGAUCCUGGGCUGUGUCCCGGCGCCCUGUGCUCCCGGACCUGCGCUGUUGGAUUCGCGCUCCCGCCCCGCAGCCCCCU
rnacentral:pre_miRNA from 1 species